rnacentral:misc_RNA from 1 species
GUGUGGCGAGCAUAAAUUAUGUCGGCCCAUGACGUAGAGCUAAAUGCUUGGCGUAAUCUAAAUUGUUCGUCAUAAUUUAUGCUCUCCACACGAAAUCGCCUUUGGAGGCACUAUCCCUAAUAUCGGACAUAUACUGAAACAACUCUUGCAAUUUGGACGGAAAUUUAGUCAAUAAAUCGAACUAAAAAUUAGAAAUGCGUCAGUCCAACGUUCUAUAGUGGACAAUUUAUCUUUACAUUCUUUCGGUUUAGAUUCAAUUUUACUAUUGUUGGACAGGACGAGUUGCCAUCCCCGAUAAAAAAUCGUUUAGCUUGGCUGUCCCUUUCAACAGGAUGGCGAGAUUAACGUAUUUGCCAUUGUAAAUUUGGUCUUUAAUUGCUGUAGGAUUGUGUGCCACAAAACCAUCCUCACACGAAUGUAUCAUGUUUUCUGGGGGACUAUUGUUGUUAACACUAACAGGGUCAGUAUCGACAUGUUUGGAAGAAAAACCCUCGCCAGCAGACGAAAUAUUAAGAAUACCUGAUUCUCGCAAAAUUUUGGCGAAAUCAAUAGUACUUUGGUUGCUUGUACCUGGCUGCUGUUCCAUGUCCUCACUGAUAUGCUUCCGUUUUCUUGACACUUUCGGCAUUUUACAAUAGCAAUGGAUACAAGAUUAAAUUUGAGAAUGUCGUGAUCAAGGUUAACUUUUGUAUAACUUGAGACCCGUCUAAUUUAAUACUUGACUGGAUUCAUUGUUUUAUAAGUGAUCGAU